rnacentral:rRNA from 1 species
AGGCAGCAGGCGCGCAAAUUACCCAUUUCAGACUCUGAGAGGUAGUGACGAGAAAUACCGGUGCCGGGCCCUGACGGGCGCCGACAAUCGAAAUGAGUGCAGCUUAAAACACUGACGUCGCUUCGUUCGGCGGUCGCUGGCGCGCGAGCGCCUCGGCCGUCCGGGCGUGACUUGUGCAAGUAUCGAUCGGAGGGCAAGUCUGGUGCCAGCAGCCGCGGUAAUUCCAGCUCCGAAAGUGUAUGCUCAUGUUGUUGCGGUUGAAAAGCUCGUAGUUGGAAAGAAGCUUUUCGCCGCCCGCGCCCCGGUCGAAAGGCCGCGUGGUCGCGAGCGAACGAAAGAUGGUUGAUAGCCCGGCGUGCGUCCGUCCGAGAGGUCGAGCGCGCGUUCGGGUCCGAGCGCGGACGGCCGGCGUGGCUCCCAACCGCGUCGCGUGCCUAGUAGCCUCUUGGCGAGCGGGCGCGCGCGGAUCGGAAGUUGCACGUCGAGAGUCGUUCGCAGGUUGCCCUGAAGAAAUUGAAGCGAUAAGGGCGGAUCGACUUUAAAGAUGACUCGGGUCGCGCUAGCCGGCUCGCGUGGCGUCUCUCGGCGAGAGCGUUGCGCGGCGCCCGGCGAACGGGCCGAAGUCGACCGAGAACAGUCGUGCAUGGUACAACGGAAGACGGCCGCGGCUCCGCCGCCGGCGUCGAGACAAGUGCGCGUGGCAAUGAUCAAGAGAGACGGACGGGGGCAUUCGUACUGUGCCGGGAGGGGUGAAAUCCGUGGAUCGGCGCAGACGAACAGCAGCGAAGGCGUCUGCCAAGGACGUUUUCCUUAUCAGAGCGAAAGUCGGAGGUUCGAAGACGAUCAGAUACCGUCGUAGUUCCGACCGUAAACGAUGCCGACCGCGUGGUCGCCCAAGUAUUCAAAGAUCCUGAAGGCGCGCGUCGCGCGUCGUGCCUUGCCCGCGAGGGCGGGCGCGUCGCCGCGGCCGUCGUCGAUCGAGGGAUCGGGCAAUGUCGGGGUGACCGCGGGACGGGAAACCGGAGUCUUCGGGUUCCGGGGGAAGUAUGGUUGCAAAGCUGAAACUUGAAGGAAUUGACGGAAGGGCACCACCAGGCGUGGAGCCUGCGGCUUAAUUUGACUCAACGCGGGGAAACUCACCCGGCCCGGACGUUACGAGGAUUGACAGAUUGAAAGCUCUUUCUUGAUUUAGCGGAUGGUGGUGCAUGGCCGUUCCUAGUUCGUGGAACGAUUCGUCUGGUUGAUUCCGAUAACGAACGAGACUCGAAUUUGCUCAUGUAUAUGAGCCCGAUACUGCGCAUUGUGCUUUUAGCGCUCGAUGAGAGCAGAAAACGAAUCGGGCCGCGUCGCGCGUCUUUAAAGCGUCGACGCCGAAGUAUUCUCAGAAGGACCGGCGGCGGUUAAGCCGCACGAGAUCGAGCGAUAACAGGUCUGUGAUGCCCUUCGAUGUCC